CAAUAGGUGAUGGGGUUCGCCUUUAAAUGCCAAGCUUUGGCUGAUGACUCCUACAUA
rnacentral:ncRNA from 1 species